UACAGAGGGGGCAAGCGUUGUUCGGAAUUACUGGGCGUAAAGGGCGCGUAGGCGGCCUGCUAAGUCGAACGUGAAAUCCCUAGGCUCAACCUAGGAACUGCGUCCGAUACUGGCAGGCUUGAAUCCGGGAGAGGGAUGCGGAAUUCCAGGUGUAGCGGUGAAAUGCGUAGAUAUCUGGAGGAACACCGGUGGCGAAGGCGGCAUCCUGGACCGGUAUUGACGCUGAGGCGCGAAAGCCAGGGGAGCAAACAGG
rnacentral:rRNA from 1 species